CUUCUGCGAUAGCAAGCAUAGCUCAAAUUCAACUUUGUAAAAAAUAUUCUUUUGCUUUUCGUGGAUAAUUAAUGUAUAAUUUAAUUCCAGUUAAAUCUUUAGUUUUCUUUUCCAAAGACCAAUGAACUGCAAGUUAUGAGACCGUAAGGCACAUUGAAUUUCCAGAAGCAGGUAAGCCACUGACUAACGCACAUUGCGCCCGUUCUUACUUCCACUGUGCGUGUGACAGCGGCUAACCAGCUUUUUGGGGUAUCGGUCAGUCCGCCAGCGUGCGGCCCCAGAUGCACUCGUCCCCGCGUAAAGUGAAGCUGCCGCCCUGCCCGACACCUUACAUGCCUCGUCCGACGAGGAAAAGAAAACGUUCCAGUCUUGGGGGAAAAGAUCAAUCCGUCUUUAUUGACUCUGGUGAUAUUUUAUACCCUGAGACUGUUCCACUAGGGCCAUUUAAAACAGCAGUGGAUUUGUUGUAAUAUGUUGCUGUUAAGCAUUCCCCAACAUUUCUUUAUUUAUUGACCAUAUAUUUAAAAUAUAUCUCUGUAUUAUUUAAAUACAUGUUGACUUCUGUUGCCAUUUUGGCUGUUGUAUGUCUAGUGUUUCAGUGCUUGAAAUAAAGUGGUAUUAUUUGGUUUCAUUUUGA